ACUCAAAGGAAUUGACGGGGACCCGCACAAGCAGCGGAGCAUGUCGUUUAAUUCGACGAUACACGAAAAACCUUACCAAGGCUUGACAUCAGAUGCAUAACGUGGAAACACGCGAAAUCAGUAGUAAUAUUGACAUCUAGACAGAUGGUGCAUGGUUGUCGUCAGCUCGUGUCGUGAGAUGUUGGGUUAAGUCCCGCAACGAGCGCAACCCUUGUCAGAAGUUGCUAACAUUAAGUUGAGAACUCUUCUGAGACUGCCGCGGAUAACGUGGAGGAAGGUGGGGAUGACGUCAAAUCAUCAUGCCUCUUACGCCUUGGGCUACAAACGUGCUACAAUGGCCAUUACAAAGUGUUGCCAACCCGUGAGGGGGAGCUAAUCACAAAAAAGUGGCCUCAGUUCGGAUUGUGGGCUGCAACCCGCCCACAUGAAGUUGGAGUUGCUAGUAAUCCCGAAUCAGCAUGUCGGGGUGAAUGCGUUCCCGGGUCUUGUACACACCGCCCGU
rnacentral:rRNA from 1 species